rnacentral:RNase_P_RNA from 2 species
CCAGAGGGCCGGGCGGCCGCGUCACGCGCAAGCGUGCCGAGGAAAGUCCGGGCUCCACGGAACGACGGUGGCGGGUAACGCCCGCCGGCUUCGGCCUUGCGGUUGAGGUCAGGGACAGUGCAACAGAGAGCAGACGGCCUGGGCUUCGGCCCGGUCAAGGUGAAAGGGUGCGGUAAGAGCGCACCGCGCGGCCGGUAACGGUCGUGGCACGGUAAACCCCACCGGGAGCAAGACCGAAUAGGGGCGGCAUGGGUGUCUUCGGGCAUCCGGGGUGUGUUUCCACUCGCUGCCCGGGUUGGUUGCUUGAGCGUGUCGGUAACGGCACGCCUAGAGGAAUGGUCGCCUAUCCUCCGUAACGGAGGUGGACAGAACCCGGCUUACAGGCCCUCUGGCAAA